ensembl:lncRNA
UAUUGUCUCAGGCCUAAUCUUUAGGUCUUUGAUCCAUUUUGAGUUAAGGCAGGGAUACUUUUUAAAAGCAUCCAGAUGAUUCUACCGCAGCCAGGUUGAAAACUCCAAUAUAUAAGACAGUCUCCAAGCUUAACUACACUACCCAAGGUCAGCUGCUAGUAAAUGGUGGAGCUGGGCUCUGAAUUCAAAUCCGUAUGGGUCCAGAGUUUGGUUCAAUCAUCACCAUCACUUUGACCACUACUUCUACCAUUUCCACUCCAACAUCUCCUUACAUUUGAAGGAGUUUUACAACUUACACAGCAUAUUCAAAGACAUAGGAAAAUAAAGGUUCUCCAGGAAGCAUAUCUUACGAAAACUAUUGCUUUCAAGAAAUAUUUCAUGACUUCUUAAAUAAAGUCUUCUUCCUUUCCUCCUCUUCCUUUUUCUUUUUAAAGGUUUGGCCUCUAGAAAGUAUUCCCAGUAUAAUGGCAAAACAUUCAGUUUGCCUAUGAGCUUAUAAAUCGAAGUGGUUCUUCGGGGCAAACAAAAAAUCUUUUCAUCUAAAAUCUUAAUUGAGACCAAUUCAGUGCCCUGGGAAUGAGUUCCAGUGUUUAGCUCAGGUUUCUGGCACUGAGCACUGGACCCUGGCCUCAAGCCUGAACUGGGUCACCUUACAGCUGCACCUCAGGGCUGCUUGCCAAGAAGCUAGGCUCAUGGCAGCACUACCCUAUGACUUAACCCCAGAACACUGAGCUUCGAUACCCAACCUGGCUGAAAGCAAUCCACAUGACUACAACUCCAUUUAGUAAACAACUUACAGGAACACCUCGUGUAGCAUUAUGGCACCCUCUGACAUUUCUGGGAGAAAAGAGAACUAAUUUUCAUUAAUUUGUCUAGGGGCAGAGAAGGGGGUUUCUCACAAUUUAAUGUACAGCCAGAAAGUCGUGGAUAACAUAGAAGGGGAAAUGUCUGUCACUUCAAUUUGUAGACAAGUUCGUAGCAACUCUUUCAAAAAGGGAGGAGACUAGAGACCAACGAUCCUGGCCAAGAGAGGUAUGUUUAAAAAUCUGGUCUUCCCACUAACCAGGUAGGUUUGGGCAGAUAACUUAAUCUCAUUGUGCCUCAGUCUCCUCAUAUAUAAGAUAAUGUUUGGGCUCAUUAAAUGAAAUCUAAAUCUCAGUCCUAAAAUUGUAUUAGAUGUAUGAACAUAUACUUACAGUUUUUUAAGAUUUUUUUAUUUUUAUUUUUUAUUUUUUUCCUUUUUCUCCCCAAAGUCCCCCAGUACAUAGUUGUAUAUUCUUUGUUGUGGGUCCUUCCAGUGUGGCAUGUGGGACGCCGCCUCAGUGUGGCUUCACGAGCAGUGCCAUGUCCGUGCCCAGGAUUCAAACCAACGAAACACUGGGACGCCUGGAGCAGAGUGCGCGAACUUAACCACUCGGCCACGGGGCCAGCCCCCAGUUUUCUAAUUUGGUGUAACCACUUGAAACUCAUCCUCUUACUAGAGAAAACCUGAAUUUUUAAAACUCUGAGGUUGACAUUAAAGAUGAAACUUAAGAACAAGGAAUUGUGGCGUUGUAGCUGUAAGAGGCUAUUUAGGUAAUGUAGUCCAGCUUCCUCAUUUUGUCUUCUCCCUCUUUGUCUUCUCUUUCCUUUCUUCCUUUAUCAAUAAAUAUCUUCUGAGUUCUGGUAUGCACCAGGCACUGGGCAAAGUGCUGGGGACCAAGACCGAGUCCUUGGCCUUAAAGAUCUUCUAGUACAGCAGACACAGACAAGUAAACAGGUGAUUAAAACACAAGGAAGUAAGUGCUACCAGAGAGGUGAGUAUAGGGUGCAAUGGAAGACAGAGGCCAGUCUCAGGGUAGGGUAGGGGUGGGAGUGAGGGAAGGGUUCCUGGAGAAAUGACAUCUAAGCUGAGGCCAGGAGAGGGGGCCACUUUUCUAGGCAGAAAAGCAGCAUGUCAAAGAGGGAGCUCUGGAAUGGUGGAGGGGAUUGCCCAAGGGCAUGCAAUCGUCCAGGGUAGAGCCGGUGGUGGAACUGAAGCUCAAGGCCCUAACUCCAAAAUCGAAGGCUUGGUUGAAUGUCAAUGACAGGAAGGAAGACUUUUUGGGUUGCUGCAAGGGAAACAUCACAGUCCGUGCCUUUGCUGCCACCAACCUUAUUAAGACUUGAGGCUCUUUCCUGGGCUCUCUAGGCUUAGGACCUCCCCUCACUGGCUCCAGUGUUUUUAGCAGUAACUCAUCGAUACAGCACAACCACAUCACAGGCCCAUCAUCUAGGAAGCACCACCACCUCAAGGAUAUUUCAGCUGCUGGGUGGUAUGGAUGCAUAAACAUCCUGGCUCUGACUGGUUUAGGAGAUGACACUUGGUUAACAAUGGCUCAGUUAUAGGCCAGUUAUAGUCAUGAUGAUUGUCUUCAAAUAUUUGAAGGGUUGUAGGAGUGAUUAGAUUUAUUCUAUGCGGGUUGAAGGGGAAGAAGAAGAACAAAAUGAAUGUAAAGGUAUAAGUAAUUAUGUCUUUCCUGAAUGAGAAGAAUGUGAGGCCAGUCGCAUGGGUAAGUAAUGAAUAUCCCUGUACUAAAAGUAUUUAGAACAACGGCAGAACGAUCACUUCACUGGGAUGUUACAAAGGGGUUCAGGCUUCUAAUAAGAUUUGGAUUGUAGGGCCAGCCUUGUGACUGAGUGGUUAAGUUCGCAUGCUCAGCUUUAGCAGCCUGGGGUUUGCCAGUUUGGAUCCUAGGUGCGGACCUACACAUUGCUCAUCAAGCUAUGCUGUGGCACCAUCCCACACAGAACUAGAAUGACUUACAACUAGGAUAUACAGCUACAUACUGGGGCUUUGGGGAGAAAAAAAAACGAGGAAGAUUGGCAACAGAUGUUAGCUCAGGGCCAAUCUUCCUCACCAAAAAAAAAAAAAAAAAAAAGGAGAGAGAGAUUUUUGUAUUAUAGAGGCGUAAUCAAAUCCUUCUAGCUCAGAGCUUCUGUGAUUCUAUAUUUUCACAGUUGGUCCAGGCCAACUGAGGUCUAAUUGUUCUAGUUUCUUAUCUAUUCUUCAAAGUAUUUACUCUCAGUUCUAGUUAAUAAGUAUUUGCAAGCACAUUAUUUUUACACUUCUAAGCAAAGAUACACUUAUUAUAUGUUGUGAUAUUUAAGAAGGCAAUUUAGUGGGGGUUUUUUUCCCAAUAAAGCAUGAAUACAGUUGUCGCUAGGUAGUGAAGCUGCCAUAUUUAUGUGAGAAAAUGGGCAGUUUGGCACGUGCACACACUACACCCACCUAUCAAGCCUGGCGUGUGUGUACCGCCUUAUUUUAGGUAUACUUUGCCUGCAUACUUAUAUGCUGUUCAUGCUAGGAUCCAUUCUCUUACAGACCCAAAAGAAAUUUUAUAAAUUCUUUCUUUCCUUUCUUUCACUUCUGUUUUUAUUGUGGAAACUGUGCUGCUGGUCCAUUAUUCUAAAGGUACGGAGAGAGAGAAGGGAGAGUACAGUCAGUGAAAACUGAAGAUACUACAGGCAGUCUGACAGGUGCAAUUUAGAUUUUGUUAACCCCACAUUAUUUUCAGAGAGCAGUGGUAAAAGGUGAUAUAUAUUGUUCUUUAAGGCAGACAAUUCUGUUGCCCACAUAGUAAAAGAAAACACAUAAUUUGUUGUUACCUGCUUUCUAAGCUUCUUGCAUGUAAUGUGUUAUAAAUCAAAUAUAUUAAAUAAUAUUUUAUUGUAAACUAGUAUUUGGAUAAUAUAUUACCUAAAGUCUAAAGUACGUAUAUUUUAAAGCAACAUAAUAGCUUCUUCAAAAAGAGAAAAAGAAUGCAAGCCCAUUUUCUAAGUGUUCAAAAUCAAACAACACUAAAAGAACCAGUCAGAAUGAGCUGGCCCUUCUCUAAAAGCCAUGGAACAUAAAUUACUUUAACAUAUUGUGCAAAGGCAUUGUCCUGCACUAGCUCCCAUAGUCUACCUUAGAGAGAAGCUUCUGCUCAGUCAUACAUUACAGAAGAAGAAGUGUUCCAUAGCUGCUGGUUGUUAGCAGUUUAUUGUGCACUGAGAGGAACGCUGGGAGCGGCUCGGACAGUCCCUCAGCAGUCCCGGCGCAGUUACGGGAAGGGCCUCUGGGAUAGCUGUUUACUGCGAACAGGAUGAAUAAAUCAAGAUAAGAAAGCCAAGGCCCAGAGAAAUUAAGUGAUUUCUCCAGGAUUCACAGGCAGAAUUUGGGAAGGCUUCCCUGAGGAAGUGAUCUUUGACCUGAAAUCUAAAGAGUGAAUGAAGUGGACAAAAAGAGGUGGACAGAGGAAGAGCAAACCAGGCAGAAAGAAUAUCACAUACAAAUACUCUUAUUUGGAGAAAAGGAACAUGGCAUGUACUAGCCCCCCGGUAUAUAGUUGUAUAUUCUUCGUUGUGGGUCCAUCUAGUUGUGGCAUGUGGGAUGCUGCCUCAGCGUGGUUUGAUGAGCAGUGCCAUGUCCGCACCCAGGAUUCGAACCAACGAAACACUGGGCCGCCUGCAGCGGAGCAUGUGAACUUAACCACUCGGCCACGGGGCCAGCCCCCAGUGGGAUACUUUUAAUAAUGUAAAAUUCCACGGGGCCAGCCCCCAGUGGGAUACUUUUAAUAAUGUAAAAUUUGAAACAUUCUGUUGUUGGCCAACAGUGGGAAAAUGGCAAACUAUUGUAUGUUCACAGCACAGCAUAAUCUGCAUCCAUUAAAAUAACGUAUAUGAAGAAUUUUAAUUUGCAUGGGAAAUGCCUCUGCUAUAAUGUAAAGUAAAAAAAAAAGGACAUUAUUUCCACUAUGUCAUAUAUUUAUAGAAAAAUUUUCUAGAAAAAAGUGGACUAAAAUGUUAAUCAUGACUGCCUCUGGGUGGGACUGAGUGUCCCAUAUUUUCUUUAUGGUUUUCCAUAUUUUCUAUGCUAUGCAUUUAAAACCUUUAAGAUUGAAAAAAUA